CAUCCUAAAUUCUAUGUGACAUUAGUAAUUUUCAAUACUAUUUAGGGCAGAUAGGGUGGAUAGUAUGCACAUUGGGAUGCAGGGUAAGUCAAGGGGAGCACAAGGAUGAAAACCACAUGACAAGACAGGACACAGAUACUCUUGCCGGACUGCUUCUGAACCGCAGCUGUGGAAGCAGCACAAACCCAAGGAUCCACUGAUAAAUAAAUUUCUCCAAAUCUGUUCUCAUAAGGAAACAAACUCAUCUACAUCUUGGAUGGCCUGAGGGCUUUCAUCAGAUCCAAAUAGGAAAACAGAGAUCAUUUGGAAACAAUGCGGCUGAGCUGAAAAUACAACAAAGGGAAAUAAGACUUCUUUUGCUCUGGUGAUUUUACAAGUCAGGCACAUAGCCAAAGAAAUAAUCUAGGUUAAAUCCUAACAGGAAUCCUGUUUUUUACACCUGCUCAAAGCUGAGCAUGUUCAGGGUUAAUGGAUUUUGUCUGAUGGGAUCUUCAUAUCGCUGAAGGGGCCGAGACCGCCGAGACCUGUGCAGACGUGACACAUUUUAAAAAUGGAUAGAGCUGAAAAUGGGACAGUUAUGGUGAUUUAUUGUCAUUCGGACGAAACCAUACGAAUGUCUUGUUUAAAUGAU